rnacentral:rRNA from 1 species
GAACGAAGCGAUUUAACGGAAGUUUUCGGAUGGAAGUUGAAUUGACUGAGUGGCGGACGGGUGAGUAACGCGUGGGUAACCUGCCUUGUACUGGGGGACAACAGUUAGAAAUGACUGCUAAUACCGCAUAAGCGCACAGUAUCGCAUGAUACAGUGUGAAAAACUCCGGUGGUACAAGAUGGACCCGCGUCUGAUUAGCUAGUUGGUAAGGUAACGGCUUACCAAGGCGACGAUCAGUAGCCGACCUGAGAGGGUGACCGGCCACAUUGGGACUGAGACACGGCCCAAACUCCUACGGGAGGCAGCAGUGGGGAAUAUUGCACAAUGGGCGAAAGCCUGAUGCAGCGACGCCGCGUGAGUGAAGAAGUAUUUCGGUAUGUAAAGCUCUAUCAGCAGGGAAGAAAAUGACGGUACCUGACUAAGAAGCCCCGGCUAACUACGUGCCAGCAGCCGCGGUAAUACGUAGGGGGCAAGCGUUAUCCGGAUUUACUGGGUGUAAAGGGAGCGUAGACGGUAAAGCAAGUCUGAAGUGAAAGCCCGCGGCUCAACUGCGGGACUGCUUUGGAAACUGUUUAACUGGAGUGUCGGAGAGGUAAGUGGAAUUCCUAGUGUAGCGGUGAAAUGCGUAGAUAUUAGGAGGAACACCAGUGGCGAAGGCGACUUAC